UGAGAUAGCUCUACACACUUAGGUUGCGGGUUAUGCUCGGCUUCAAGACUGUUCCGAACAGUUGCAGGAGCCUGGAGAAACAUGGUUGUUACAAGUACAAUUGCCUCCUUUGUGUUAGACGUUCUUUUGGCUUUCGGUGUAAUUAUUUAAAAAAUGGUGGAUAUGGGGAUAUUGGAUUUCUUCGUUGAUGUAUGGAACGAACGGACUUGCAGUUACCAAGAUGCUAGAGGAUAGUUGGGACAAAUUUGUUCCGGAUGUUAAAGAUAAACUGGGAAUAGUUGUUUUGAAAUGGAGUGGAUUCUGCAUAGAACCUUAUUGGAUGAAGUAGGGGCUUUUUAAAUGGCCGACUUUUUCAUUUA